rnacentral:rRNA from 1 species
GGGUGUGACCAUACCAGCACUAAUGCAUCGGAUCCCAUCAAAACUCCACAGUUAAGCGUGCUUGGGCAAGAGUAGUACUAGGAUGGGUGACCUCCUGGGAAGGCCUCCUAUUUCACCCC